rfam:Aedes aegypti strain Liverpool supercont1.116 genomic scaffold, whole genome shotgun sequence.
CCUCUCAUGGCGUAGUGGUAACGCGCCCCAACCAGAGGUCGGGGAGUCGUGAGUUCGAUUCUCACUGAGAAGA